CCUACGUGGGGCAGCAGUGGGGAAUAUUGCGCAAUGGGCGAAAGCCUGACGCAGCGACGCCGCGUGAGGGAUGAAGGUCUUCGGAUCGUAAACCUCUGUCAGCAGGGAAGAACGGUCACUGUGCUAAUCAGCAGUGAAUUGACGGUACCUGCAAAGGAAGCACCGGCUAACACCGUGCCAGCAGCCGCGGUAAUACGGAGGGUGAGAGCGUUAAUCGGAAUUACUGGGCGUAAAGCGCUCGUAGGCGGUAUGUCAAGUCAAGGGUGAAAUCCCCGCGCUCAACGUGGGAACUGCCUUUGAAACGGGCAAACUGGAGUGUUGGAGAGGAUAGUGGAAUUCCAGGUGUAGGAGUGAAAUCCGUAGAUAUCUGGAGGAACAUCAGUGGCGAAGGCGACUAUCUGGCACAUAACUGACGCUGAGGAGCGAAAGCGUGGGUAGCAAACAGGAUUAGAUACCCGGGUAGUC
rnacentral:rRNA from 1 species